ACCCAAAUCACUCCAGAAGAGAACUAGCUCCACAGUCUUCUUCACGAGAAAACCCUAAACAAUUGAGUGUGAAUUAAUGAUUAAGCUUCGAUUGAGCGUCGGUUUUCUAUCAUCUAUUGUGAACCUACAAUCCGAAUAUAUAGAUAUGAGAGUUUGAGCUUUUGAGCAUUUCAAAGAGCUUUAUUGGGAUAGUACCAUCACAAUCACCGUCUUCAUAGUGUUUUUGGUCUUCACCUUGUUGUUCAUCCUUCGAUCAUCGGGCAGAAUUUUAAUUAGAACCUCUGCAACUUCUGGUAUUACCUUUGCGUCAUAAUUUAGAUGUGAAGCACAUUGAAAAUGUGUGCGAGAGUAUUAUCGGAACAUUAUUGGAUAUGAAAGAAAAAUCAAAGGAUGGUCUCAAUUCACAUUUGGAUUUGCAAGAGAUAUGCAUUGGGGAUGAAUUGCAUCCAAUAAAGAGAGACUAUAAAUUUUACUUGCCAGCACGACCUCACACCUUAUCAAAGAUGGAGAAGCGGCGUUUCUGUGAAAGGUUACAACAGUUAAAAUUGCUUGAUGGUUAUAGUUCUACUAUUGGGAAAUGUUUCUUGAUAGAUGAAUGGAAGAUAUAUUUGGCUUAAAGUCACAUGAUUAUCAUGUCUUAAUGCAACAAUAGUUACUAGUUACAUUACGGGGUAGCACAGAAGGGUCCUAGGAAUGCAAUAUUAAUUUUGACUGUGUGCAUAUUUUAAUGAAGUAUGUCAAUGGAUGAUCGAUAAAAACUCCUUAGAAAAAUGUGAGAAUGAUAUUGCAGAGACUUUGUGCACGCUUGAAAUAUUUCUUCCUCCAUCUUUCUUUGACGUGAUGGUUCAUUUAACAAUUCACAUUACAAGAGAAGCUCGCAUUUGUGGACCGGUACAAUAUUGUUGGAUGUAUUCAUCUGAGAGGUUUUUAACUAUUAACUUCUUAGGUUAUGCAUUUGUUAAUUUUUUUCAAUUCUUUUUUCAUGUAACAUUUUGUUUUAGGAAUAUAAAGGUUUUUAAAGGAUAUGUUAAGAAUCGAACAAGAUCAGAAGGAUGCAUAAUAGAAUGCUAUUUGUCUCAAGAAUGUGUUCAAUUUUUUAGUGAGCACAUGAAACAAGCAGCUGAAAUACCAGUUCGAAGAAAUCGUAAUGAAGAUAUUGAAUUUGAAACACAAUUAGAAGGUCAUCCAAUUUCCAAGGGGAAGUCAAAAGCCAUGCCUUCUGAUAUGUUGGAGAUAGCGCAUCGUUAUGUGUUAUUCAAUAAUCCAGAAGUGGUACCGUAUAUUCAGUAAGUGUAAAGGCACCGAAAAUUGUUAAUAUAUAAUUUAAUUUUAUAAACUAGCUUAACAUUUUACUUUUCGUAUUUGUUUUCCAUAUAGAAUUCAUUUAAAGGAGCUUAAGUGUUUGGACAAGCGUCUUUUAAGGAAUAAAAAUGAAUUAUUAAGGAAAUACAUAGAGACUUUUUUUGCAUGGCUCGCUGAUAAAGUACAUACAAGUGGUAAUGAUGUGUUAGAAAUGUUGAAGUGCCUUGCAAAUGAGCCUAGAAAAAAUGUCAACCCAUUCUGGUUAUAUCAUUAAUAGGCAAAGGUUUCACACAAGGAAUGUUGAGAGAAGCACACAAAAUAGUAGUGUUUCUUUAGAGACUGAAACUAUUUGUUAAUCCAGUGCUAGAGACACAAAUCAAGUUGUGGGAAGAAUAUCUUACUAUGGGGUUUUGAAGGACAUCUUUUUUUUAGACUACUAUUCAUUUAAAGUCCUAAUAUUUGAUUGUGAAUGGGCGAACAUCAAUAUUGGUGUCAAAAUUCAUCGAUCUUUGGCCUUUUUUUUCGUUUUCUUUAUCUACUCUCACUAACUUUCAUAUCAAUUGUAACAUACUUAAAUGAUUUGAGUUGUUUGAUGACUGGAUAGUUAAAUAUGGUUUUGACUUGAAUAGUGGCCGGACAUGCUUUUGCUUUAUUAAUUGUUUUACAAUGAAAUGGUGUGCGUUAAUUGUCUUUGGAGGCAUAAUUGUUUUUUUAUGAAACUUUUAUAGGUGCAUCAACAAGCUUAUUGCUUGGGAUGCAAUGUAUUUUUUUUUAAAUGUUGCUUUCUACAAGGUGAAAAAAAUCCGGUAAAAUGUUAUUACAACAUGUAAAAAGACCUAUUAACCAGAUGGCAGGUGGUUAUUUAUAGGGUUUAAUUGGAUGCGGUAAUAAAAUUCAUUAUUUACCGCAUGGCUUGUUACCGCAUGUGAUUAAACCUUGUAAGGGGUAUUUACAAGAUUUUUUUCACCUUGCAAAUAUUCAUUUUUCUUGUAAUGAAAAGUGAUUGCUUUUUUUUUUUUUUUUUUUUUUAAAUUAUUUUCAGGUCCUUUUAUUACUAAAUAAUGUAUGUACUAUCAUCGGUAGAGAGUCGUUAACUUAGAGAAUGUUCUUUAUUUAUGAUGAGAUUAUCAUUACUCUUAGACCAUGUUUGGUAUAAUAAGAGGGUAGGGAGAAUAAAAAAGGAUAAAAUUGGUUAUGAAAAAAAAAAAAACAAA